rnacentral:rRNA from 1 species
GCAUAUCAAUAAGCGGAGGAAAAGAAACCAACAGGGAUUGCCCUAGUAACGGCGAGUGAAGCGGCAACAGCUCAAAUUUGAAAUCUGGCUCUUUCAGGGUCCGAGUUGUAAUUUGCAGAGGGUGCUUUGGUGUUGGCGGCGGUCUAAGUUCCUUGGAACAGGACAUCGCAGAGGGUGAGAAUCCCGUAUGUGGUCGCAUGCCUUCGCCGUGUAAAGCCCCUUCGACGAGUCGAGUUGUUUGGGAAUGCAGCUCUAAAUGGGAGGUAAAUUUCUUCUAAAGCUAAAUACCGGCCAGAGACCGAUAGCGCACAAGUAGAGUGAUCGAAAGAUGAAAAGCACUUUGGAAAGAGAGUCAAACAGCACGUGAAAUUGUUAAAAGGGAAGCGCUUGCAGCCAGACUUGCCUGUAGUUGCUCACCUGGGCUCUUGCCCGGGGCACUCUUCUGCAGGCAGGCCAGCAUCAGUUUGGGCGGUCGGAUAAAGGCCUCUGACACGUACUUCCUUUCGGGGUUGACAUAUAGGGGAGGUGCAAUGCGACCAGCCUGGACUGAGGUCCGCGCAUCUGCUAGGAUGCUGGCGUAAUGGCUGUAAGCGGCCCGUCUUGAAACACGGACCAAGGAGUCUAACAUCUAUGCGAGUGUUUGGGUGUCAAGCCCGAGCGCGUAAUGAAAGUGAACGGAGGUGGGAACCCCUCGGGGCGCACCAUCGACCGAUCCUGAUGUCUUCGGAUGGAUUUGAGUAAGAGCAUAGCUGUUGGGACCCGAAAGAUGGUGAACUAUGCUUGAAUAGGGUGAAGCCAGAGGAAACUCUGGUGGAGGCUCGCAGCGGUUCUGACGUGCAAAUCGAUCGUCAAAUUUGGGCAUAGGGGCGAAAGACUAAUCGAACUAUCUGGUAGCUGGUUCCUGC